UACGUAGGUGGCAAGCGUUGUCCGGAAUUAUUGGGCGUAAAGAGCUCGUAGGCGGCCUGUCGCGUCGGCUGUGAAAACCCGAGGCUCAACCUCGGGCCUGCAGUCGAUACGGGCAGGCUAGAGUUCGGUAGGGGAGACUGGAAUUCCCGGUGUAGCGGUGAAAUGCGCAGAUAUCGGGAAGAACACCCGUGGCGAAGGCGGCUCUCUGGGACGGUACUGACGCUGAGACGCGAAAGCGUGGGGAGCGAACAGG
rnacentral:rRNA from 1 species